rnacentral:rRNA from 1 species
GUCGAGCGGUAGCACAGAGAGCUUGCUCUCGGGUGACGAGCGGCGGACGGGUGAGUAAUGUCUGGGAAACUGCCUGAUGGAGGGGGAUAACUACUGGAAACGGUAGCUAAUACCGCAUAAUGUCGCAAGACCAAAGUGGGGGACCUUCGGGCCUCAUGCCAUCAGAUGUGCCCAGAUGGGAUUAGCUAGUAGGUGGGGUAACGGCUCACCUAGGCGACGAUCCCUAGCUGGUCUGAGAGGAUGACCAGCCACACUGGAACUGAGACACGGUCCAGACUCCUACGGGAGGCAGCAGUGGGGAAUAUUGCACAAUGGGCGCAAGCCUGAUGCAGCCAUGCCGCGUGUGUGAAGAAGGCCUUCGGGUUGUAAAGCACUUUCAGCGGGGAGGAAGGCGAUAAGGUUAAUAACCUUGUCGAUUGACGUUACCCGCAGAAGAAGCACCGGCUAACUCCGUGCCAGCAGCCGCGGUAAUACGGAGGGUGCAAGCGUUAAUCGGAAUUACUGGGCGUAAAGCGCACGCAGGCGGUCUGUCAAGUCGGAUGUGAAAUCCCCGGGCUCAACCUGGGAACUGCAUUCGAAACUGGCAGGCUAGAGUCUUGUAGAGGGGGGUAGAAUUCCAGGUGUAGCGGUGAAAUGCGUAGAGAUCUGGAGGAAUACCGGUGGCGAAGGCGGCCCCCUGGACAAAGACUGACGCUCAGGUGCGAAAGCGUGGGGAGCAAACAGGAUUAGAUACCCUGGUAGUCCACGCCGUAAACGAUGUCGAUUUGGAGGUUGUGCCCUUGAGGCGUGGCUUCCGGAGCUAACGCGUUAAAUCGACCGCCUGGGGAGUACGGCCGCAAGGUUAAAACUCAAAUGAAUUGACGGGGGCCCGCACAAGCGGUGGAGCAUGUGGUUUAAUUCGAUGCAACGCGAAGAAACCUUACCUGGUCUUGACAUCCACAGAACUUUGCAGAGAUGGUUUGGUGCCUUCGGGAACUGUGAGACAGGUGCUGCAUGGCUGUCGUCAGCUCGUGUUGUGAAAUGUUGGGUUAAGUCCCGCAACGAGCGCAACCCUUAUCCUUUGUUGCCAGCGGUCCGGCCGGGAACUCAAAGGAGACUGCCAGUGAUAAACUGGAGGAAGGUGGGGAUGACGUCAAGUCAUCAUGGCCCUUACGACCAGGGCUACACACGUGCUACAAUGGCAUAUACAAAGAGAAGCGACCUCGCGAGAGCAAGCGGACCUCAUAAAGUAUGUCGUAGUCCGGAUUGGAGUCUGCAACUCGACUCCAUGAAGUCGGAAUCGCUAGUAAUCGUAGAUCAGAAUGCUACGGUGAAUACGUUCCCGGGCCUUGUACACACCGCCCGUCACACCAUGGGAGUGGGUUGCAAAAGAAGUAGGUAGCUUAACCUUCGGGAGGGCGC